AGUCGAGCGGACAGAAGGGAGCUUGCUCCCGGAUGUUAGCGGCGGACGGGUGAGUAACACGUGGGUAACCUGCCUGUAAGACUGGGAUAACUCCGGGAAACCGGAGCUAAUACCGGAUAGUUCCUUGAACCGCAUGGUUCAAGGAUGAAAGACGGUUUCGGCUGUCACUUACAGAUGGACCCGCGGCGCAUUAGCUAGUUGGUGGGGUAAUGGCUCACCAAGGCGACGAUGCGUAGCCGACCUGAGAGGGUGAUCGGCCACACUGGGACUGAGACACGGCCCAGACUCCUACGGGAGGCAGCAGUAGGGAAUCUUCCGCAAUGGACGAAAGUCUGACGGAGCAACGCCGCGUGAGUGAUGAAGGUUUUCGGAUCGUAAAGCUCUGUUGUUAGGGAAGAACAAGUGCGAGAGUAACUGCUCGCACCUUGACGGUACCUAACCAGAAAGCCACGGCUAACUACGUGCCAGCAGCCGCGGUAAUACGUAGGUGGCAAGCGUUGUCCGGAAUUAUUGGGCGUAAAGGGCUCGCAGGCGGUUUCUUAAGUCUGAUGUGAAAGCCCCCGGCUCAACCGGGGAGGGUCAUUGGAAACUGGGAAACUUGAGUGCAGAAGAGGAGAGUGGAAUUCCACGUGUAGCGGUGAAAUGCGUAGAGAUGUGGAGGAACACCAGUGGCGAAGGCGACUCUCUGGUCUGUAACUGACGCUGAGGAGCGAAAGCGUGGGGAGCGAACAGGAUUAGAUACCCUGGUAGUCCACGCCGUAAACGAUGAGUGCUAAGUGUUAGGGG
rnacentral:rRNA from 2 species